rnacentral:rRNA from 1 species
UACGUAGGGUGCAAGCGUUAAUCGGAAUUACUGGGCGUAAAGCGUGCGCAGGCGGUUAUGUAAGACAGAUGUGAAAUGCCCGGGCUUAACCUGGGAACUGCAUUUGUGACUGCAUGGCUAGAGUUUGGCAGAGGGGGGUAGAAUUCCACGUGUAGCAGUGAAAUGCGUAGAUAUUGGGAGGAACACCAGUGGCGAAGGCGGCUACCUGGACCGGAACUGACGCUGAUGCGCGAAAGCGUGGGUAGCAAACAGG